GAUGAACGCUGGCGGCGUGCUUAACACAUGCAAGUCGAACGAUGAAGCCCAGCUUGCUGGGUGGAUUAGUGGCGAACGGGUGAGUAACACGUGAGUAACCUGCCCUUGACUCUGGGAUAAGCCUGGGAAACUGGGUCUAAUACUGGAUAUGACUUCUCAUCGCAUGGUGGGGGGUGGAAAGAUUUAUUGGUCUUGGAUGGACUCGCGGCCUAUCAGCUUGUUGGUGAGGUAAUGGCUCACCAAGGCGACGACGGGUAGCCGGCCUGAGAGGGUGACCGGCCACACUGGGACUGAGACACGGCCCAGACUCCUACGGGAGGCAGCAGUGGGGAAUAGUGCACAAUGGGCGCAAGCCUGAUGCAGCGACGCCGCGUGAGGGAUGACGGCCUUCGGGUUGUAAACCUCUUUCAGUAGGGAAGAAGCGAGAGUGACGGUACCUGCAGAAGAAGCUCCGGCUAACUACGUG
rnacentral:rRNA from 1 species